CUUCUGCAGGAAAUGCCCUCAGUGCUGCACCUCGCACAGCAGCAUCCCAGCUGCGUGGUGCUGCCCACCCAGCAUAUGUCCCGGCCCUUCCCUUCCUGGCUUCCCCUGCAUUUAACACACGGAGACGCGUGACCCUGAGUCAGAUGGGGAGGGGGGAAUUAGCAGGAGGAGACGCGCGGCCGAGAGGCGAGGAGCGAACCGCUUCCCCGAGCCCUUCCACUGCGGAGCCGCGAGGGAACAUCAGACGCGUUAAAAAAAGCCCCAACCAAACCAAAACAAAACGCGGCGUUGGAGCCGGCGCACGGCGAGCGGAGAUCAAACAGACGCGGAGAGAGAGAGAGAGAGAGAGAGAGAGGAGAAGGAGGGAGAGAGGGAGAGACAGAUUAACUGGAGCGGCAGCGGCGGCAACAACAACAACAACAAAAAAUCAUACUUAUAAUAAUAACAAUAAUAAUAAUAAUAAAAACCCAAACCACCAACAAGGGAGAUAUUG
ensembl:lncRNA